AUUGAACGCUGGCGGAAUGCUUUACACAUGCAAGUCGAACGGCAGCACGGGGGCAACCCUGGUGGCGAGUGGCGAACGGGUGAGUAAUAUAUCGGAACGUGCCCAGUCGUGGGGGAUAACGUAGCGAAAGUUACGCUAAUACCGCAUACGAUCUACGGAUGAAAGCGGGGGAUCGCAAGACCUCGCGCGAUUGGAGCGGCCGAUAUCAGAUUAGGUAGUUGGUGGGGUAAAGGCUCACCAAGCCAACGAUCUGUAGCUGGUCUGAGAGGACGACCAGCCACACUGGGACUGAGACACGGCCCAGACUCCUACGGGAGGCAGCAGUGGGGAAUUUUGGACAAUUGGCGCAAGCCUGAUCCAGCCAGUCCGCGUGCAGGACGAAGGCCUUCGGGUUGUAAACUGCUUUUGUACGGAACGAAAAAGCCUUGGCUAAUACCCAGGGUCCAUGACGGUACCGUAAGAAUAAGCACCGGCUAACUACGUGCCAGCCGCCGCCGUAA
rnacentral:rRNA from 1 species